GUUUUGGUGAAGAUGGAGCGAUUAUCUUUGACCUAUCCCCACUGUCCUGAGAGUCGGUGCAACUCUGAGCUCUCAAGCUUCUCCGCAGCUGCAGGUUGGGGCUAGCUUAGUGGCUGGGGCAUUCUCAGCACAGGAAAAUAGAAGGUAUGAUUCUGAAUUCAAAGGGAGGGUGGGAAAACCAUCCUCCCAGAAGGAGGCAAGACUAUUCACACAUCUAUUGGAUUCUGCUCCUGUGGAGGGGAAGGAUGUGAGGGACGGAGAAAGGAAAGUGGACAGCUUUUGAGAGGUGAGAAGACAAACAGCUCCCGACCUGUUCAGCAACACAAGCUUCUCUGUCAGUGCUGGUGGUACAAGGAGGAGAUAAUGUAUUCAAAGAGGUUUCCAGAUUUCCUGUGCUAUUGACCAAAUGACUGCAGGUACCCAAAGGUAAACUUUGAAUGUUGUGCCCAGCGACCAGCCCUGGAGAGUGGAGUCCUUCAUGUGGCAAGGGCAGGGACCACACAAGCUUCCCCUGCGCUACCCUUCCACCAGCAUGCCCCAUCAGCCUUGACCCCUUGGGACGAGAGGGG